rnacentral:rRNA from 1 species
AAGGCCUUACCAAGGCUUGACAUACGCCGGAAAGCAUCAGAGAUGGUGCCCCCCUUGUGGUCGGUGUACAGGUGGUGCAUGGCUGUCGUCAGCUCGUGUCGUGAGAUGUUGGGUUAAGUCCCGCAACGAGCGCAACCCUUGUCCUGUGUUGCCAGCAUGCCCUUCGGGGUGAUGGGGACUCACAGGAGACCGCCGGGGUCAACUCGGAGGAAGGUGGGGACGACGUCAAGUCAUCAUGCCCCUUAUGUCUUGGGCUGCACACGUGCUACAAUGGCAGGUACAAUGAGCUGCGAAACCGUGAGGUGGAGCGAAUCUCAAAAAGCCUGUCUCAGUUCGGAUUGGGGUCUGCAACUCGACCCCAUGAAGUCGGAGUUGCUAGUAAUCGCAGAUCAGCAUGC